AGGGUUUGAUUCUGGCUCAGGAUGAACGCUGGCGGCGUGCUUAACACAUGCAAGUCGAGCGAAGCACUUUUGCGGAUUUCUUCGGAUUGAAGCAAUUGUGACUGAGCGGCGGACGGGUGAGUAACGCGUGGGUAACCUGCCUCAUACAGGGGGAUAACAGUUGGAAACGGCUGCUAAUACCGCAUAAGCGCACAGUACCGCAUGGUACCGUGUGAAAAACUCCGGUGGUAUGAGAUGGACCCGCGUCUGAUUAGCUAGUUGGUGGGGUAACGGCCUACCAAGGCGACGAUCAGUAGCCGACCUGAGAGGGUGACCGGCCACAUUGGGACUGAGACACGGCCCAA
rnacentral:rRNA from 1 species